GAGCGAACAGAUGUGGAGCUUGCUCCUCUGACGUUAGCGGCGGACGGGUGAGUAACACGUGGAUAACCUACCUAUAAGACUGGGAUAACUUCGGGAAACCGGAGCUAAUACCGGAUAAUAUAUUGAACCGCAUGGUUCAAUAGUGAAAGACGGUUUUGCUGUCACUUAUAGAUGGAUCCGCGCCGCAUUAGCUAGUUGGUAAGGUAACGGCUUACCAAGGCAACGAUGCGUAGCCGACCUGAGAGGGUGAUCGGCCACACUGGAACUGAGACACGGUCCAGACUCCUACGGGAGGCAGCGGUAGGGAAUCUUCCGCAAUGGGCGAAAGCCUGACGGAGCAACGCCGCGUGAGUGAUGAAGGUCUUCGGAUCGUAAAACUCUGUUAUUAGGGAAGAACAAAUGUGUAAGUAACUAUGCACGUCUUGACGGUACCUAAUCAGAAAGCCACGGCUAACUACGUGCCAGCAGCCGCGGUAAUACGUAGGUGGCAAGCGUUAUCCGGAAUUAUUGGGCGUAAAGCGCGCGUAGGCGGUUUUUUAAGUCUGAUGUGAAAGCCCACGGCUCAACCGUGGAGGGUCAUUGGAAACUGGAAAACUUGAGUGCAGAAGAGGAAAGUGGAAUUCCAUGUGUAGCGGUGAAAUGCGCAGAGAUAUGGAGGAACACCAGUGGCGAAGGCGACUUUCUGGUCUGUAACUGACGCUGAUGUGCGAAAGCGUGGGGAUC
rnacentral:rRNA from 1 species